ACCAAGGAGGCCAGACAGAGGGACGUGGUCACUCUCUGAAAGGUUCAACUGGAGAGUUCUCCAUCAGCAGCUUCUGCACUGUGGUGGACGUCGUGAACUUCUCCAAGCUGCAGGUGCUGCGCCUGGACGGGAACGAGAUCAAGCGCAGCGCCAUGCCUGCCGACGCGCCUCUCUGCCUGCGCCUUGCCAGCCUCAUCGAGAUCUGAGCAGCCUUGGCACCGGGUACUGGGCGGAGAGCCCCCGUGGCAUUUGGCUUGAUGGUUUGGUUUGGCUUUUGCUGGAAGGUCCAGGAUGUACCAUGUGACAGAAGUCCACGGGCUCCCUCUGUAGUCUUCUUUCCUGUAGGUGGGGUUAGGGGAGGCAAUC
rnacentral:sRNA from 1 species